GACGAACGCUGGCGGCGUGCUUAACACAUGCAAGUCGAACGAGAAGGCGCAGCAAUACGCUUGUACAGUGGCGAACGGGUGAGGAAUACAUGGGUGACCUACCCUCGAGUGGGGGAUAACCCGCCGAAAGGCGGGCUAAUACCGCGUACGCUUCCGAUCUCGCGGGAUUGGAAGGAAAGCUGUCCCUUGGGGAUGGCGCUCAAGGACGGGCUCAUGUCCUAUCAGCUUGNGGUAGGGUAACGGCCUACCAAGGCAUCGACGGGUAGCUGGUCUGAGAGGACGAUCAGCCACACUGGCACUGCGACACGGGCCAGACUCCUACGGGAGGCAGCAGUGAGGAAUAUUGCGCAAUGGGCGAAAGCCUGACGCAGCGACGCCGCGUGGGGGAGUGAAGGUCUUCGGAUUGUAAACCCCUUUCGGGAGGGAAGACGGCCUUAGACAACUAAGGCGGACGGUACCUCCAGAAGCAGCC
rnacentral:rRNA from 1 species